GGCCGGCUGGCUUAAUGGUAAAGCGCCAGUUUCCGGCAAGAUUUCUUGUUCAGUGAGCUGGAGAUUGCAUGUUCGAGUCCUGCGUCGGUCG